rnacentral:lncRNA from 1 species
UAAAAAAAGAAAGAAAGAGAAGGAGAAUGAGCUUGAAUGGCCUGAAAAAUAUAUGUAUUUGUAUUGACAUGCAUAAUGCAUCAAGUGUCUCAUUAGACAUUUUAUCUUGGAGGGGUUUCUAUUUCUCCCUCCCCCAUCUGGUCUAGAAAGACAUUAAAGGACUACUUCUUGUGGAUGACGGCGUACCCUCUAACGAGAGGGGUGACACAAAUAUCUAUUAGGGGUCACAUUUGGUUAAGUACUAUCGUGGUGAUAGAAUAUAUGAUAGGACCACUGUGGUGGGUAUGACCGUGGUCAUAGAUUGUACCAUGGUUUGGCAAGCCAAAAAUGUACUUGAGCAAAUUGUCAUUAUAUAUCUGAUAUGCUCAUUCCACAUGGAUAGUCAGAAAUCCGUAUCUCCCCUCAGAGAUAGAAGUCGGAAU